AUCUCAAUAUUCACGGCAGUGAAUAAAUGGAAUCAUUGGCUGAGAACACGUCAUGUCCGAUACGAUAGGUGGCGCUGUUUUCAUUACAACUAGUUGUGAUGCAGCCAUUUCCGCUUGACCUCUUCACCACGACCAACAACAACAACAACAACAACAUCAACGUCAGGAGAAAGACGGCGAGCGGAGAGCGAGGUGAAGCUACGUCCCUCGACUAUGUGUGCGUGAUGCUAACAGCAGCGCGGCGAAUGCGAAUGGCGCUAUUGGCUGAUUCGAUAACGGAGAGAAGACGCCGUCGCCGAAGCUUGUGGAGCAUCAGCUGUAAGAUGCCUGGGUGAGCUCAUGACGCUAACGUGCUCAGCCAGACACGCCUGUUAGCAGAAGAACCGAGAGAAAUCGCUCACUUCCUGUUGGGAAGCUGUGGAUCCCAACUGGUCAGUGGAAGCGGCCACACUGGCAUCGAACCUGCCACAGCCAGGUGGUCGUGCCAACAACCGUGGACAGAGGAUCAGAGCCGCCCUCAGAUUACCUGAGUGCAAACCUGCCCCGCGCAGACCUUUAGACGUCUUCAGGACACAACUGCCAGCUGGUCAUAGGUUUGUAAACACAAUUCUUGUACAGUUCAUGUGUGUUUCAUUCCACAAAUAAAGAAACUCACAGAAGUUUUAGUUAAGUGUUUUAUUUAUAC